AUAUGAGUUUGUGCAUAAUAUAAAAUUUCACAUAGAACUCUUUAAAGUUCUGAUUGUCGAAUUGCCGACCAUUGUUUGUGAUGAGGUGUGUGGCAAAUCGAAUAUGCAUAUAAUUGAUUUCUGAAUGAAAUCUUUCAUCUUACUUUUAGUAAUUUAUACCAGAAGUUCAGCUUCUAUCCAUUUAAUGAAGUAAUCGAUAGCGACCACUAUGAACUUCUUCUAACCAAAUGCUGGGAAAAAAGGAUCAAGUAUGUAGAUUCUCC
rnacentral:lncRNA from 1 species